rnacentral:misc_RNA from 1 species
GUCAGAAUACAAAAUAAGCCAUGAAUCUAACAUCUUAUCCCUUCUAUCAAACUUCAUAGAACAUCUUUUAUUGAUAAGACCAAUUUACACUCCCAACAACCAUGCCAACAGAGGAAGGUGGGGAGAAUAUCAAUAACUUUUCCUAAUGACUGUUUUGAGGCAUGCAAAGGGCACACACUAGGAACGGUGAAAUGAAGGUAUGAUUAUCAGUUGUUAUUUUGAGCAUCAUUUCUAAGAGAAAAUAAGACGUUACUUUUACCUAAGAUGGCUUACAAUAUAAUGGAACAUUCAAAAUCAUAUUAUGCCCAUGGCUAGAUCGAAGAUUUUACAAAAUCCAUACAUGAUUAAUAACACCAGUACUACUAUUAUUGCAACCAUUGUUACAUCUUGCUUUCAGAUAACUAAACAAAUUUCAUAGACAAGGACAGAGGGAAAGGUGAAG